rnacentral:sRNA from 1 species
AUAAAAAACUGGUGGUGCAGUAUUCUAGUCAGCAAACGACCUUUUGAAGGCGGGGCUAAAAGACCGUCGACGGGCAUAUCGAUGAAGUUUCUUGUGCUGGCUUUCGUUGCCCAAACGGGGGCUUGUGCUGGAAGUUAAGAUUGGUGGGUAAGGCGUAAUGGCAUAUGUUUAAUCCCCAUCAUUCGCGGAGACUCUACAGGGUGGUUGACGAACAAAAUCGGCAAUUACUCUCUGAGAUUAAACCUGCUAUGCGGUGAAGUUAAAAGCUGUGUACAGAGUAGCUUGUUUUGAGUGGAAUUUUGGGAGUAAAGAACGACUACCGCUUGUUGGCCGACAACGGGCAGUUGACUGCUUUACGAAAUGAAUUUUGCAAAAGAAACUAAAAUCUGUCGUUUGUUGCAAAGGAAAUCUUCUAGACUGCAAAUCAGGCUUAUCGGAGAUUAUAGUACGGACUAAGUGGCGAUUCAGUUAAGCUCUCGGUGACGACGCUUACACAAAAUGAAAAGGAAACUGCUUCUUCGGCGACGGGAAGUUUUUGUGUGGGAAACCCUACUGAACCUAUGCCGUAAGGUUUAUCCGAUAGGUCACCACCUUUUUUUAUUA